rnacentral:rRNA from 1 species
GACGAACGCUGGCGGCGUGCUUAACACAUGCAAGUCGAACGGAAAGGCCCUGCUUUUGUGGGGUGCUCGAGUGGCGAACGGGUGAGUAACACAUGAGUAACCUGCCCUUGACUUUGUGAUAACUUCAGGAAACUGGGGCUAAUACCGGAUAGGAGCUCCUGCUGCAUGGUGGGGGUUGGAAAGUUUCGGCGGUUGGGGAUGGACUCGCGGCUUAUCAGCUUGUUGGUGGGGUAGUGGCUUACCAAGGCUUUGACGGGUAGCCGGCCUGAGAGGGUGACCGGCCACAUUGGGACUGAGAUACGGCCCAGACUGCUACGGGAGGCAGCAGUGGGGAAUAUGGCACAAUGGGCGGAAGCCUGAGGCAGAAACGCCGCGAGCGGGAUGACGGCCUUCGGGUUGUAAACCGCUUUCGCCUGUGACGAAGCGGGAGUGACGGUAAUGGGUAAAGAAGCACCGGCUAACUACGUG